GAUGAACGCUGGCGGCGUGCCUAAUACAUGCAAGUCGAGCGAACGGACGAGAAGCUUGCUUCUCUGAUGUUAGCGGCGGACGGGUGAGUAACACGUGGAUAACCUACCUAUAAGACUGGGAUAACUUCGGGAAACCGUAGCUAAUACCGGAUAAUAUUUUGAACCGCAUGGUUCAAAAGUGAAAGACGGUCUUGCUGUCACUUAUAGAUGGAUCCGCGCUGCAUUAGCUAGUUGGUAAGGUAACGGCUUACCAAGGCAACGAUGCAUAGCCGACCUGAGAGGGUGAUCGGCCACACUGGAACUGAGCCACGGUCCAGACUCCUACGGGAGGCAGCAGUAGGGAAUCUUCCGCAAUGGGCGAAAGCCUGACGGGGCAACGCCGCGUGAGUGAUGAAGGUCUUCGGAUCGUAAAACUCUGUUAUUAGGGAAGAACAUAUGUGUAAGUAACUGUGCACAUCUUGACGGUACCUAAUCAGAAAGCCACGGCUAACUACGUG
rnacentral:rRNA from 1 species